ACUUGGUGGUUGUGCAAGAGAGGAGUGCAGUUUUGAGGAUCACGAUGAAGAACGGACUGCUCAGGGGCGUCCUCUCUCUGCAGCUAGCAGCAGGCCUGAUAAUGGUGCAGGCAGGGAGCGGAGGAGAGCACCCCUAUCUUGCUUACAAAGAGAAAGAGCGGUGGAGGAGUUACAACAAGGGCGGCUUCAACAAAGAAUUGCUACUGAGAGAGAACUGCAGACAUGGAGAGGAAAGACUGCAGCGUUUCUUAUGGAGUUGUAAAUUCGCUUGCCAGUGUAUAUGUUCUUCUUUGUUCUGUAUCAUGGUGUUAUAGGGCCCUCUUCGGCGGAAGGAGUUUAGGGAUUGCGAUGAAUCUGGCCGAAUGGCAAGGCUCGAGCAACCCUGAUAUGCUUCUCGGAAGUAACCAUAGUGUAUACCUCUACAGCUAUGACAAGAAGAAAAUACUCAUAGGUAAGAAAAUGUGGUUUUCUGGAGAUGUCUGAGCUGUUGCACCUCUCAUGUUUGAAAUUAAACACAGGACUGAUUUUUCCAA